UGUUAAGGAACUAGGCAAAUUGACCCCGUAACUUCGGGAGAAGGGGUGCCUACGAGAGUAGGCCGCAGAGAAUCGGCCCAAGCAACUGUUUACCAAAAACACAGGUCUCUGCUAAAUCGAAAGAUGACGUAUAGGGGCUGACGCCUGCCCGGUGCUGGAAGGUUAAGAGGAGGACUUAGCGGAAACGCGAAGGCCCGAAUUGAAGCCCCAGUAAACGGCGGCCGUAACGAUAACGGUCCUAAGGUAGCGAAAUUCCUUGUCAGGUAAGUUCUGACCCGCACGAAAGGCGUAAUGAUUUGGGCACUGUCUCAACAGCCCGCCCGGCGAAAUUGUAGUACCGGUGAAGAUGCCGGUUACCCGCAACUAGACGGAAAGACCCCAUGGAGCUUUACUGCAGCUUAAUACUGAGAUUCGGUAAAUCAUGUACAGGAUAGGUGGGAGACUAAGAAGCCAGGCCGUCAGGUUUGGUGGAGUCACCCUUGGGAUACCACCCUUGGUUUGCUGGGUUUCUAACCUGCGGCCCUGAAUCGGGUCGGGGGACACUGUUAGGCGGGCAGUUUGACUGGGGCGGUCGCCUCCUAAAAUGUAACGGAGGCGCUCAAAGGUUGGCUCAGCAUGGAUGGAAACCAUGCAAUGAGUGUAAACGUAUAAGCCAGCCUGACUGCGAGACCGACGGGUCGAGCAGAGACGAAAGUCGGAGUUAGUGAUCCGGUGGUAUGUGAGUGGAAAUGCCAUCGCUCAACGGAUAAAAGCUACCCUGGGGAUAACAGGCUGAUCUCCCCCAAGCGUCCACAGCGACGGGGAGGUUUGGCACCUCGAUGUCGGCUCGUCGCAUCCUGGGGCUGAAUUAGGUCCCAAGGGUUUGGCUGUUCGCCAAUUAAAGCGGCACGCGAGCUGGGUUCAGAACGUCGUGAGACAGUUCGGUCCCUAUCUGUUGCGGGCGUAGGAGAUUUGAAGGGAGCUGACCUUAGUACGAGAGGACCGGGUUGGACGUACCUCUGGUGUACCAGUUGUUCUGCCAAGGGCAUGGCUGGGUAGCUACGUACGGACGAGAUAAACGCUGAAGGCAUCUAAGCGUGAAACUCUCCCUGAGAUAAGAUCUCCACUGAGGCUCGACGUAGACUAUGUCGUUGAUAGGUCAGAGGUGAAAGUGCAGCAAUGCAUGCAGCUGACUGAUACUAAUAAGCCGAAAGCUUGACC
rnacentral:rRNA from 1 species